CAAAUGGUGUUUGUUUUUGUGAAUAUUUGCUUAAAAUAGGACUUUGUAAAUAGCUUGUAGGAUGGUAUGUUAGAAGUUUCAUGUAGGUCUCCUUAGAGAAAAUCCAGCCUUUGCAGUUCUUCUGCUGAAGUUUCACUUUAACUGAGUUUGUUAAUCAUUAAGCUUUGGCAGUUAACCUGCUAUCAUGCAAAAUUGGAAAUAAAGACAGAUGCUACUCUGAAGACAUUACAUUGUAGGUGAGAUAAUAGUAAAGAGGAAAUAUUUGAGACGGAUAUUUUGCUUGUUUCAGGCUCCACUGUGAAUUUCAGUCACGCACUGUAGUAAGCAGUGGAUAUUUUGACAACAUUUAAAGGAUGUUGUACCAAUCUUGGCAAUGCAUGAAAUAUACUGUUUGCUGCCAAGUGUUUACCUAGUUGGGAAACAAUUAAAUUGAAGUGUAAACUCACUCAAGCAGCUCCCCCUGCUGAGAUAAAAGGAAAGCUGGAAUUGAGGAUAUUGGAAGUGUCUAAGGGAUAAACAGUUCCAAGAGAAUAUUUGCUACAGUUGAGUUUUAGGAUGAAGUCUGCUUGUAUCAUUUUAAUAUUCCAAAUCAGCCAAAACCAAAACUUCUGUAUAAAUCAGUGGAUGAAGGGAUGAGCAACCUUGUUCAGACUGCAUUCCUUCUAUAUUUUUGAGGGUAAAAACAGAAAAACUUGAAAGUAUGCAAAAACUUGUGUGCUUUCCCAUAUGCAAGAGACAUGAGCUGCAAAAUUACCCAACUUUGCUCAAGUUAACAAUGGUUUUUCCAAAAAACAAGUUGUGUAGACCUUGCUCUUCAUGAACCAAUAAAUAGCAAACCAAUAAAGUGGUAGGAUACAUUUAAUGAAGAAUACAUUUGCUUAUCUACAAAAUACAGAUAAGGGUUUGCAUUCAGAUUGCUGCUUGUCAACUGGACUACAUAAUGGCGGGGGGCCUCUUAGCCUGUGAAAUGAAAGCAAACUAGGUAACCUGAAAAUAAAGGAAAAAUGGCAUUGUCAUGAGCCAGAAGUAUUUAUGUAGGCCAUUAUCAAAAUGACUUGAUAUGCAUUAUCUUCAUUGUUUGUCUGAAUAUUGGCACUUAUGGGAAAUCUGAACAGUUAAAAGUGCACGCUGAAAUAUAGAUUUGAAAAGGUAUUCCAUGAGAUAAAGCAAGGCUCAUAUGAAAGUAUUUCAUACUGAUCACGGAAAAAAAAAUCACGCAAAAGCAAGCAACUGUUACAAUUGGUAUUAAAAAUAGCAUCAUGUGGCAUCUUUCCCAGUAGAAAAUGUUGAUGUUCGUGAAAUUACAAAGCAUUCAAAAAUAUAAAGGUCAUUUUUGAAAUGCUUCUGGAAAAUGUCAAAGAACUGUAGAUAGAGGACUUGACUAGCAUGAUAAAUGUAUUAUUGAUGGAGAAAUUCAAUAUUGACACAUCUACAGUUAUAUUAGUCUGGUCUUAAAAUAGAAUCAUAACAUGGAAAAUCUAGGAUAUACACAAAGUGGAAUGCAUACAACGAUCAUUAGAGAUGCUAACAUAUGCUAGAAGAGAAAUCUUUGACCUGGAUUUAAGCGAAACCAUUAACAAGGGAUGCUUUCCUGAAGGAAGUUCCUAAGUCGUGUUACUUCAGGUUUCAGGCAUGUUUAUAUUAGCAACCAGGUUCUUUUUAGCAACUGGUUAUCAACUCUUUGCUUUUUGAACUGAAUUAGGGCUUGUCUUGAUGUACAAUUGUGCGUGUAGACAAUGGGAAGAUUAAAAAUCCUCAUUUGAACAAGAUUCUUUUAUUCUCAGUAGCUCCAACUGUGAAGAUCUCUAUCUCUUUAUGCAGAUGGGUAACCACUUGAAUUUGCAAGAAGAUUCCCAAAUGCUAUGAAGACUUCAUACCCCUUGAGAAGGGAAACAUUAACUCUAGAUGAUGAGAGAAUAGGAAAGCUUAUGUACUGCAGACUCAACCUCUUUUCACUUGAAAGGACAUAAUCAAACAAAAAUCCUUCAAAAACAGUUCUACUGAAGAGAGGACAUAGACAGGAGAAGCAAAUAUAUGAGUUUGGUUGGAGAGGAAGAGUUCUGGGAGGAGUAAGAGACAAAGGAGAUCUCAUUAAUUAUGUUUCCAGAUGAUGCUGAGUAGCAAGAUCCAGCGAAAUUGCAGUGGUGAGUACUGCACUAAUUCCCUGUGUGCAGGAAAUUCUGGAGGUAGCUGUUUUCAUCUGGCAAAAUAAAGACUGUGAGAUCAUCU
rnacentral:lncRNA from 7 species